AGUUCUAUGGUGUAAUGCAACACUCUGGAGUUUGAAUUCAGCAAUCCGAGUUCAAAUUUCGGUAGAACCU
rnacentral:tRNA from 1 species